rnacentral:rRNA from 1 species
UACGUAGGGACCGAGCGUUGUCCGGAUUCAUUGGGCGUAAAGAGCUCGUAGGCGGCUGUUCAAGUCGAACGUGAAAACUCGGGGCUCAACUCCGAGCCUGCGUUCGAUACUGGAUGGCUAGAGUCUGGUAGGGGGAUCUGGAAUUCCAGGUGUAGCGGUGAAAUGCGUAGAUAUCUGGAGGAACACCGGUGGCGAAGGCGGCAUCCUGGACCAAUUCUGACGCUGAGGAGCGAAAGCCAGGGGAGCAAACGGG